rnacentral:lncRNA from 1 species
AAAAAAAAAAAAAAAUGAAUGAUAAAAAUAACAACUUCAAUGAGAAGAACAGGAACAAUAAUAAUACAUAUCAUAAAAACAAAAAUUAUGUAAAUAAAUCAUUAUAUAACAACAGUAAUUAUGGAAAUUACAAUGCGCAAAGUACUUAUAUGAACACUUUGAAUAAUUUUAAUAAUAAUACGAUGGGCGGUUACUCCAGUAAUAGUGUUUAUCAAAAUAGUGGUUACCCCUCGAAUAGUAUUUAUCAAAAUAGUGUUUACCAAAAUAAUAAUAAUUAUAUUUUUAACAAAAGUGACAAUAGUUAUUAUUCUAAUGUAAGCAACAACAAUUAUUAUUCAAAUAUAAAUAAUAAUUAUUAUUUAAAUUUAAAUAACACUGCAAGUAGUUUAAAUUAUAACAACUUAAAUUCUUUUGUUAAUUACAGUAAUACAACUAGUGAGGACAUUAAAACGGAUAAAGAAGGAGAUGAUAAAAACGAAAAAAGUACAUUUGACCUUACAAAUAUGAAUGAUAGUUAUGUAGAAUUAUAUAUUAAUAAAGUAAAAGAAAUAUAUUAUUUUCAUGUAUUUUAUCAUUAUUUGAAAUUAGGUUACCCUGAAAAAGAAGCAGCGGUAGAAUCGAAAAAAUAUAUUUAUAUAACUUUGAAUAAAUAUUUUUUAUUAGUUAAAAAUGCUAUAUUAGCAUCACCUGAAUCAGUUAAACAAAUAAAUAAUUGUGUUUCUUCGAAUUUGUCAUAUUAUAAACAACAAACAAAUUUACAAGAGUUUUUAUUACAACAGCAAUCGCAAUUACAAAAUGUAGUAUCGCAAAAAAUGAACAUAUAUGACCAAAUGAAUUUAAAUAAUAUAAACAAUCUGAAUGGUAUAAAUAUUGGUAACAUUAGCAUACCAUUGGAUAGUCACGAUAAAAUAUCAGAUAUAUCAAAUUUGGAAUCAGGUGACUUAAUACAAAAUGAUAAAAAGUGUAACAAUAGUAGUAGUGUUAAUAAAGAUAAUAGUGCGACUUAUGACUUGAACACCGAAGUAAAUAAUUCCAGUGUAGAUAAUUCGUUCAUUUCUGCUACAUGUAAUAGUCCCGCUACGUCUGUUACUACUACCACUACCACGCCUGUAACUACUACAAGACAAACUAAUGAAAAUCACGAUGUAACAAAUUUAUACAAUUUAAAAGCUGAUAAGAUAAAUAAUAUGCUCAAUUCUAUUGAAGAAAUGAAAAAGUUAAAUAAUAAUAAAAAAGAAAAAAAUAUAUUAUAUGAUGUGAACCCUGGUGAAACUGUGGGUAAUGUAUUAGAUUAUUCAUACAAUAAUAAUAAUGGUUUAAGUAACACUGACCCUAAUAAAUACAACACAAAUAGUAUAUUUUCAUAUAACUAUAACGGUAUCUAUAACAACAGCAGUAAUAUUAUUGAUAAUGAUUAUUAUAAAAAUGGUAAAAGUCCUAAUAUCCCUUUUAAAAAUAAUGAGAAAAAAAAAAAAAAAAUAAGUUUUACAAUAAAUAAAUCAGCAAAUAAAAUUUUUCAGUUAUAUAACAAACAAGGUAGUAAUCAUAAGCAUAACGAAAAUAUGAGUGACAAUAUAAGCGAUAUUAGUGAUUUGAGUGAUAAUAACAAAAAUAACAAUAAACUAAAUAAUUUCAAUACAGAAUAUUUAAAUAAUAUUCAGAAUGAAAAAUGUGAUGAUAUUGAUACUAGUAGUAACAAUAUUAAUCGUAUGAUGGGUGUAGAUUUGUCAAAUAUGACAAACUAUAACAAUAGAAACGAUAAUAAUAAUAAUAAUAAUAAUAAUAAUAAUAAUAAUAAUAAUAAUAAUGAUUAUAACAACAGGAAUGAGUGUCAAAGCUUGUAUGCAAUAAACAAAGUAAAUAAAAAAACCACAAAAAAUGAUAUACUAACAAAUAAUGUUGAGGAUGUUGGUGAAACUAUAGGAAAUCAGGCAAAUCAUAUUUUUGAUAACAAUAAUAAUGUACUGAACAUGAACAAAUAUAAUACAAUUUAUAAUAAAAAUGCGAUUAACAAUAGUGCUAGAGGUUUGUAUGAUUGUCAAAAGGGUAGCAAUAGUAGUAAUGUGAAUAUGUUAAAUAGAAAUGUAUUAAAAAGUGGUGUGGUUGUGACACAAUCUCAACAUGGUAGCGGUUAUAAUAAUAGCGGUUAUAAUGACAAUGCAUAUAGUUAUAACGAUUAUGCUGAUAAUAGUUAUAGGACUAUGCAAGAACACAGUUUGACAAAAAAUGAUGAAAACGAUGAAAACGAAAACGAAAACGAAAACGAGAAUGAUGAUAACAUGUAUGGUUACGAUUUAUAUAACAACAAAGCAUGGCCCAAAAAGUGUGCCAAAGAAAAAUGCAUAAUUAAUAGUAUUAUGCAAAAAUCAAAGUCGAAACAAAAGCUUAGCCCGAGUCCGAGUCCGAGUCCGAGUCAGGGCCAGGGUCAGGGUCAGGGUCAGGGUCAGGGUCAGGGUCAGAAUCAGGGUCAGAAUCAGGGUCAGGGUCAGGGUCAGGGUCAGGGUCAGGGUCAGAAUCAGGGUCAGAAUCAGGGUCAGAAUCAGGAUCAGAAUCAGGGUCAGAAUCAGGAUCAGAAUCAGGGUCAGGGUCAGAAUCACAGGCAAACUGAUUUUAAGUUGGAUGAAGAUUCCUGUCAUGACAAAUCGGGCAGUAUAUAUAAGUGGGAACAUGAGCAAGAUCAAGUAUACAACAACAAAAACAAAAACAAAAAUAAUACUAUGAACAGUUUUAAAGAAGAUGAACAGGAUGAUACCAUUAUUAAUUACAAUAAUGCUAAAAGCUUGAUUAACAAAUAUGGUACUAAUAAUAACAUUGCUAUUGUUAGUGGUAAUACCAACACAAUUGAUAAUAGUAACAUUUCCAUUAAUCUUAGUAAUAAUAUUAAUCAGAUUUAUGAUUUUAAUAAUAAUUUAAAAAUAACAAAUAACCAAGAAAAUAAAAUAAAUAAACUGCACAUGUUAGAUUUUUUUUCAAAUACAAAUGAAAGUAAAAAUAAAAUUAACAAUUUCAAUUCGUACAUAAAUAAUUUGAAUGAACAUUUUAGGGAACAAUGCAAAAAUAAAGAGUUUUCUAAGUGCUUAAAAUUAUUUAUAAACAAAUUAAUUUCUUUAAAAAAAAAAAAAAUCAUAAGAACUUCUUUUUGGUUGGACAAUGUGUUACCUACAAAGGAGGAGGUUAUGUCAAUGGAUGUUUAUUUUUUUUCUCAUCAAACAAGAGCGAAAAGAAAAAUGGAUAAUGACAUUGUGAUAGAUGAAGAUAUAAUGAAUCUUGUUUUAAAUGACAAGAAAGUGAAGCUCAGCACAGAAGAAAUUGAAAAAAGAGCAAAAAGAAAUAACAAAUGUUAUGAUAUUAAUAAAAACAAAAAAAACGAAUUUAACGAAAAUAUUUUUUAUAUUGAUGUAAAUGGUGAUGAAACAAGUGAAAAUUAUAAAAAACUUGAAAAAUUAAUUGAUAAAUACAAUUAUUCUAAUUGUUAUAAGAAUAAGGAUUUUAUUGGAGAUUGUAAAAGUAUUCAAAAGUUUUUUUUCCGAUUGACUUCCUUGCCGGAGAAAAAAAACGUAACAUGUUUUGUGUCCAUAUAUAUAUAUAUAUAUAUAUAUAUAUAUAUUUUGCAAAAAAAAAUAAAAACAAAAACAUGUGUUCACGCGUAGAUUUUUGCUUUUAUAUAGAUGUAAUAACAAUAAAAUAUUAAAUUGUGUCA